ACAAGCAGCGGAGCGUGUGGUUUAAUUCGAUGCUACACGAAGAACCUUACCAGGGUUUGACAUGCAAGUGGUAGGAAACCGAAAGGCGACCGACCCUUCGGGGAGCUUGCACAGGUGCUGCAUGGCUGUCGUCAGCUCGUGUCGUGAGAUGUUCGGUUAAGUCCGCUAACGAGCGCAACCCUCGCUGUGUGUUACAAGUGUCACACGGUACUGCCGGUCUUAAGCCGGAGGAAGGUGGGGAUGACGUCAAGUCAGCAUGGCCUUUAUGUCCUGGGCUACACACACGCUACAAUGGCCAACACAAUAGGUUGCUAAGCCGCGAGGUGGAGCCAAUCCUCAAAGUUGGUCUCAGUUCAGAUUGCAGGCUGCAACCCGCCUGCAUGAAGAUGGAGUUGCUAGUAACCGCAGGUCAGCUAUACUGCGGUGAAUACGUUCCCGGGGCUU
rnacentral:rRNA from 1 species